rnacentral:rRNA from 1 species
CCUACGGGGGGCAGCAGUAGGGAAUCUUCGGCAAUGGGCGAAAGUCUGACCCAGCAACGCCGCGUGGGUGAAGAAGGCCCUCGGAUCGUAAAACUCUGUUGUUAGAGAAGAACACGGCGCAAGGGAACUGUUCACCCCUGGACGGGAACCAACCAGAAACCCCCGGCCAGCAACGUGCCAGCAACGGCGGUGACGCGUGGGGGGCGAGCGUAGUCCGGAUUUAUUGGGCGUAAAGCGAGCGCAGGCGGUGUGGUAAGUCGGGUGUGAAAGCGCCCGGCUCAACCGGGGGGGGUCAUUGGAAACUGGGGGGCUUGAGUGCGGAAGAGGAGAGUGGAAUUCCAGGUGUAGCGGUGAAAUGCGUAGAUAUAUGGAGGAAUACCAGUGGCGAAGGCGGCUCUCUGGUCUGUAACUGACGCUGAGGCUCGAAAGCGUGGGGAGCAAACAGGAUUAGAUACCCUUGUAGUC